CCCCCACCUCAGUAUCCAUAUCAAUAACAAACUUCACCUGCAUAUCUGCAUAUGGGAUAUACAUUUCCCAACUUGUUCGGUAUUCAAGACCAUGCAGCUCCUACUCAGACUUUGUAAACGUCACCAGAAUCUUGGCAGAAAGUUGAUGAACCAGAAUUAUGUCAAAGAACGUCUCGUCAUUAUUCUAAAAAGGUUUUUAAUUUUAUUAAUUUU
rnacentral:lncRNA from 1 species